rnacentral:tRNA from 1 species
UAUAAUUUAUGCUAUCAGCUGGUGGGUUCAUACCCCAUUAAUUUAUUAUUAUAAAUUUAUUU